rfam:Pteropus alecto contig84059, whole genome shotgun sequence.
GUCUAUGGCCAUGCCACCCUGAACAAGUCCGAUCCCGUCUGAUCUCGGAAGCUAAGCAGGGUCGGGCCUGGUUAGUACUUGGAUGGGAGAACACCUAGGAGGACCAGGUGCUGUAGGUG